UUUUAAAGAAUCGACUACCUAUGACUAGGCACGUGCCCUAUGCGCCGAGAGGGAGGGAGUAUAUCUGGAUGCCGCCUUUGGUUCGCCGCUCCAUCGCCAUCAGCCCAUCACCCGCUCCUCCUGCUGGCAUGCCGCCGUACUCGCGCCGCAUCCUUGCUUCCACCACGCUCGCUCCGUUCCACGUGCGCGCUGGCAUCUACCCCUCCGACUCAAUGCCGGCCUUUCGUGCCCAGCGAAGCCGCCUCGGCAGCAGCGCGCUCAGGCCGUUCGGCAGAAUGCCGACCCGGAUGCGGCGGUUUCUUUGAACCGCCGUGAGGGUUGCCAUCGAGAAGCUGGAUCGGGCUCGUAGAUCAGGCCUAGGACGCGUUUCCAGGCCUAUUUCUAUAUCACGGAGGAGCUAGCUGCGGAUGCAAGGCAGGUGGUUUCUUCGCCGAGUGAUUCCUGCUGCAUGGUACAGUGCCGACUGAACUCUGAAGAACUUGCUGUGGGAGCAGAGAAGGCAAGAACACAACACAAGAGGCCGGCCACACGUUUGUGUUUCAACACGUUGAUGUAGCUACAGCCUGCUCUCUCAUCUUGUUAGCUGAAAACUACUCCCUCCAUAACAAGUGUCAUGUUUUUAGUUCAAGUUGUUUAUUUCAAAUCUUCAAGUUGUAUAGUUUAAAUUAAAUUGAUUGAAUUGAACUAAACUACUUGAACUAAACCACGACACUUAUUUUGGAUCGGAUAGAGUAUCUUGCUUUUUCUGCAUGGUACCACCUCA